rnacentral:misc_RNA from 1 species
GGCUCAGCAUCCAUCUGCAAUUGACUCAUCUUCAUAUAUAAAUGAUCAGUUUCGUCUGACUAAAUGGCAUUUGAUGUGCUUUAACUGACCAAACUGCUACACAAUCAAGGCUCUCCUGAAGUGAAUCCAUCCUUCUCCUGUACAAGAAUUUCAAUCAUAACGUAUUACCCAUCAAAUUAACAUGAACCAUUGAGUACGAAGUACGUGAGAGCUAAUAAACAGGCAUAAGAAAGAGACCAGUAAAUAAGAAUUUGAAUUUCACUUCACCUAAACUAUUAUGUUACUUGAUAAAUAUUUUUCAAAGUUUAAAUACUUUUCGAAGUUCCUUUUUCUUUUAUUCUUCUGCCUCAUUUCCAUUCU